GAGGAAUAUUGGUCAAUGGAGGCAACUCUGAACCAGCCAUGCCGCGUGUAGGACGAAUGUCCUCUGGGUUGUAAACUACUUUUAUUGGGGAAGAAACCCUCUUACGUGUAAGAGGCUGACGGUACCCAAGGAAUAAGGACCGGCUAACUCCGUGCCAGCAGCCGCGGUAAUACGGAGGGUCCAAGCGUUAUCCGGAAUCAUUGGGUUUAAAGGGUGCGCAGGCGGUAGUGUAAGUCAGUGGUGAAAUCUCUCGGCUCAACCGAGAAACUGCCAUUGAUACUGCAGUACUUGAAUACAGUUGAAGUAGGCGGAAUGUGUAGUGUAGCGGUGAAAUGCUUAGAUAUUACACAGAACACCGAUAGCGAAGGCAGCUUACUAAACUGAUAUUGACGCUCAUGCACGAAAGCGUGGGGAGCGAAC
rnacentral:rRNA from 1 species